rnacentral:rRNA from 1 species
AUUGAACGCUGGCGGCAUGCCUUACACAUGCAAGUCGAACGGCAGCACGGGGGCAACCCUGGUGGCGAGUGGCGAACGGGUGAGUAAUGCAUCGGAAUGUACCCAGUAGUGGGGGGAUAACUAGUCGAAAGACUGGCUAAUACCGCAUACGCACUAUGGUGGAAAGCGGGGGAUCGCAAGACCUCGCGCUAUUGGAGCAGCCGAUGUCCGAUUAGGUAGUUGGUGGGGUAAAGGCCUACCAAGCCUGCGAUCGGUAACUGGUCUGAGAGGACGACCAGUCACACUGGGACUGAGACACGGCCCAGACUCCUACGGGAGGCAGCAGUGGGGAAUUUUGGACAAUGGGCGCAAGCCUGAUCCAGCAAUGCCGCGUGUGUGAAGAAGGCCUUCGGGUUGUAAGCACUUUGUCAGGAACGAAACAGUGUCCGCUAAUACCGGGCGCGAAUGACGGUACCUGAAGAAUAAGCACCGGUUAACUACGUGCCAG